rnacentral:rRNA from 1 species
UACGUAGGGGGCAAGCGUUGUCCGGAUUUAUUGGGCGUAAAGAGUGUGUAGGCGGUUUGGUAGGUCCGCUGUGAAAACUCGAGCUCAACCUCGAGACGCCGGUGGAAACCAUCAGACUAGAGUCCGGAAGAGGAGAGUGGAAUUCCUGGUGUAGCGGUGAAAUGCGCAGAUAUCAGGAAGAACACCCGUGGCUAAGGCGGCUCUCUAGUACGGUACUGACGCUGAGACGCGAAAGCGUGGGGAGCGAACAGG